rnacentral:rRNA from 1 species
ACUCCUGCGGGAGGCAGCAGUGAGGAAUAUUGGACAAUGGGUGGAAGCCUGAUCCAGCCAUCCCGCGUGCAGGAAGACGGCCCUAUGGGUUGUAAACUGCUUUUAUCUGGGGAUAAACCUACUUACGUGUAAGUAGCUGAAGGUACCAGAAGAAUAAGCACCGGCUAACUCCGUGCCAGCAGCCGCGGUAAUACGGAGGGUGCAAGCGUUAUCCGGAUUUAUUGGGUUUAAAGGGUCCGUAGGCGGACUGAUAAGUCAGUGGUGAAAUCCGACAGCUUAACUGUCGAACUGCCAUUGAUACUGUUAGUCUUGAGUAAGGUUGAAGUGGCUGGAAUAAGUAGUGUAGCGGUGAAAUGCAUAGAUAUUACUUAGAACACCAAUUGCGAAGGCAGGUCACUAAGUCUUAACUGACGCUGAUGGACGAAAGCGUGGGGAGCGAACAGGAUUAGAAACCCUUGUAGUCCCAUGA